ACUGCCAUGCUUCCAGCCAUGAUGAUAGUGGACUGAACCUCCAAACCUGAACAACUCCAGAUCUGAUGGAGCCGUCAUAUUAUUUGGACACAUUCUGCCUGGCUGCCAGUCCAAAUAACUGCAGGGCUCAGAACCCUUAAGAGGAUGCUUUCUCUCUCUCCCCCCACCCCCAUGACAGCCAGCGCCAUCAUGGCUUCCUGUAGUGUCUGGACUAGCAGGCCUCUCAUGCCAUCUCCCACACGUGAGGAGCUAUCACCCUAUACUUACUUCAUGUUCCCAGCUCACCCCUUCCUGAGACUAUUGUCUGCCACCCUCCUUGAGGGUGCCCUGUAUCCCAUGAGGAGAGCCACAGCAACAUACUUGUGUCGUGAGGUGGUAUGUUAUCUAGAGAGUUAGCUCUACCUUCCACAUCCACAGAGACGUAUAAAGACCGGACCGAGAGCCAACAGCCAUUGUCAUUCCUCUGUCUCCAUCUUCUUUCCUGCCUCCUUCAGUCAGGUGCUGUUUGCAAGGGCCCCUAAUAUGUUUAACGGACUGUGAUGAUAACCGCUUGUGAGGCUCCUGCUGUUACAAAACACAGCGUUCCUGCCUUUGUAACAGAGUGCAGUGUAUUAUAUUUUGGUGGACCAGGAAAGUCUUAACGUUCAAACCCUCUCCAGAUGGAGGCAGUGUUCUGAGGAGUUGUGGAAUCCUCCGCAGAUGGCGCCUACCAGAGGAAGAUGGUCAUUAGAGACUUGAUUCUACUUCCUGUCUAUUCUCUACUUCCUGGUCCACCAACCAUGAGCCAGCAGCUCCACCCUCCAGCCACCACAGGCACAAGCUAUCCCUGUCUCCAUGACUCCUCGUCACGGUUCUUGGCUGGUACUUGGUCAGUGAUGAGAAACAUCCUUCAUAUACACACCCACAGAAUCAGUCAUCAUCGGCUCUCCUCCAGGAGCCAAGUAGCUGACCUCUAGGCACCCCAUCAGUGAACUCGUACCCUCGGGCUUCUGGCUGGCCUCGGGCAAUAGAAGCACUAAAGAAGAGACUAUGGGAUGGGGUGGAGGUGGGGAUGGAGAUGGAGGAGGAGGAUGUGUGUCCCUGCCCAGCUGCCGGAAGUUGAAGACUUCUGCUCUUGUUGGCAGUCUUUUCCAUGAAGGGCCCCUGACUCAAGCCAACUGCUCUUUUCCCUCUGCCAGUGGUGUAUGGCAGCAGCCUUGCCCUCCAAGCCCCAGACUCUGCGCUACCUGUGGUUUCCCUAAACUCUGCCUACAGCUUCCCAAAGACCCUUCAUUAAAAUGUUUCUCAGACUA